UUGUUGUCUGUGUGGGACAUUGAAGAAAAGCCAGGAGGCUAAAAAGUUCACUCCAAGACUGUUAUUAAUGGAACGACAAUCAAUGUCCUGAGUGUCAUACAUGACUUCUGCACAUGUCAUUGGAUCCUUUUGAAUGGUGCAGAGUCCACUAGACGUCUCAGGUGGUCAGUAAAUGACACAAUAAUGGAUCAUGGAAAAAGAUGGAAAGGGUUUUGGGUUACUUCACAGUCACAUGAUCAUGUGGGCAUGCACGAACUGGAAAAGGAAGAAAGGAAAGACCACCAUGAUGUCCUGUUUUUGGCCACCUACCCUGUCCCCAGUCACAAUUUCUGUGGGGAAAGCUUUGUAUCUGUUCGGAAAAUCUACCUGCCAUAGUCACGUUGUGGUGCCGUAACACUCUGCCAUUUUUGGCAAUUCAAAUACUUGCAAGGUCCUCUGUCACUGAUUGUAAGUGUCUGCAUGUAUUAUCCAUUACAGAGUGUGCUGUGCAAUACAUGUGGUUGCUGACAGGGGGUUUUAAGAGUACAAAAACUGCCAAAAUGGUACAUUUAUUUGAGAGACAGGGGUCACAGGAGAGUGGAUUGCUAUAGCUUUGUGAGGUAACCUUGCAUUUUAAAUAUGUAUUUUAUGAUAUUUAGCUAGUCAGAUUACCUUUUCUCAAAUAUAUACUAUCUACAAGCAAAUGACAAGCAAGCAGGAGUUUUUUCCUAUGCUACUUUUCCAUUGUCUUUUCUGGCUGUCGUAUAUUUCUUGCUGACAUGAUGUAUUAGAAUGCACCUACCUAUGGGCUCCUGCUAUUAUUCACUGCACUAACUAUUGUUUUGUGUAUCUUCAGCAUCAUUAUUGUCACUUUGUAUGGCUUAUUUUUCUAUUUAGGCUACCUUAUUCAUAUUCCAGACUCUCGGUCAAACCACUGCCUAGGUACAUUUUUUCCUUGCAACCGGAUAGUUGGUGAAACUCUACUAAAACUAAAAUGGAGAGCUGAUAAAUAGAAGUAAAAAAGACCACUUUCAGACUGUCUCAAAAUAAUACUGCCUACAUGCUAUACGUUUGGUUGCCACCUUUUCUGGAAAAAAAUACCGGCCUUCCUAUAGAUUUUUCUUUUUUUCCCUAUUAAUAACAUUGGAAUCAACCAUCACUUUUACCGGCCAGGCCAGUAAAAUACCGAAUCAGCUAUUUUGGAUUCCAGCCGUACUCCCGAAUCCUCCAAAUACCGAACCGAAUCCGCAUAUGCAAAUUAGGGGUGGGAAGGGGAAAAUAUUUUUUUACUUUCUUGUUUUGUAACUAAAAGUCACAAAUUUUCCUCCCGCCCCUAAUUUGCAUAUAUGGCUGGCACCUUUUCCUAAAUUUACCGGCUGGUUGGGGGCGGGAACAAAAAGGGGCGGAGUGUGACAUCAAAAGGGGUGAUGUAAAGGGGGCGGAGACUUCAAGACAGAGAACAAAAGUUACUUUCCAGGGGAUUGGGGACGGGCGGAGGGGUCUUUUUAAGGGUAUUUCAAAUUUACCGGCAGCUACAUUGCUGGUUAAUUUGUAAUACUGGCCCUGGCCUUGGCAGGUGUUUUACCGGCUAGGCUGGUUAAAUACUGGCCAAGUGGCA